AGAGCUACUUUUCCACAGGAAGUCCAAGUGCUCUUGAUGUCCCUCACCAUGCUGCGGACCAUUCUCCUUCCACUUCUCUCUCACUGCUCAGGUGUUAGCUCUCUCCCUGCAGUGACCCAGCCACCCUCAGAAUCUGUGGCUGUUGGAACGACAGUGAGGCUCUCUGCCCAUAUGAGCAGUGGGUAUGACAACUAUGGUACAGAGUGGUAUCAGCAGAGAGAUGGGCAGGCUCCUCGGCUUCUACUGUAUGGUGACAGCAACAGAGCCAGUGGGAUCCCAGAUCGAUUCUCUGGUUCCAAAUCAGGCAGCAACCGCUAUUUGACCAUCACUGGGGUACAGCCGGAAGAUGAGGCUACAUAUUACUUUGGUGUAGGUGAUAACGAGUAA